rnacentral:rRNA from 1 species
AUUGAACGCUGGCGGCAGGCCUAACACAUGCAAGUCGAGCGGAUGAAGGGAGCUUGCUCCUGGAUUCAGCGGCGGACGGGUGAGUAAUGCCUAGGAAUCUGCCUGGUAGUGGGGGAUAACGUCCGGAAACGGGCGCUAAUACCGCAUACGUCCUGAGGGAGAAAGUGGGGGAUCUUCGGACCUCACGCUAUCAGAUGAGCCUAGGUCGGAUUAGCUAGUUGGUGGGGUAAAGGCCUACCAAGGCGACGAUCCGUAACUGGUCUGAGAGGAUGAUCAGUCACGCUGGAACUGGGACACGGUCCAGACUCCUACGGGAGGCAGCAGUGGGGAAUAUUGGACAAUGGGCGAAAGCCUGAUCCAGCCAUGCCGCGUGUGUGAAGAAGGUCUUCGGAUUGUAAGCACUUUAAGUUGGGAGGAAGGGCAGUAAGUUAAUACCUUGCUGUUUUGACGUUACCAACAGAAUAAGCACCGGCUAACUUCGUG